GAGUGAUCUUAUCCGUCUCUGCAAGAGAAGCCUGUGAACCAAACAAUAUCAUUAUGGUCUGUCCACUGUUGUUGAAUAACAAAGCACUUCACACGUCCAGCGCGCUCAUAGAAGGAGGCGAGCCUGGCGCCCAGUGUUUGGUUUGUCCGCUCUGGGCUAAAGUAGAAACAUGGUGUCACAACAGGAAGGACUAGAAGAGGAACUGAUCCGUAUGAAGAUAUUAACGGCUCAUUCUAAGGAACUAAGCACCAACCUGCCAUCUGGGGACAGCGAGCCCUCAGACGAUGCCCCUCGGCGGAGACUCUGCGGAUGGC